rnacentral:rRNA from 1 species
AGAGUUUGAUCCUGGCUCAGAAUGAACGCUGGCGGCGUGCUUAACACAUGCAAGUCGCACGAGAACUCCUUAGCUUGCUAAGGAAAGUAAGGUGGCGCACGGGUGAGUAACGCGUGGGUAAUCUACCUCCCAAUUGGGGAUAACAUUGCGAAAGCGAUGCUAAUACCGAAUACUAUUUAUUUGGCUCCGGCUAAUUAAAUUAAAGGUGGCCUCUACAUGUAAGCUACUGUUGGAAGAUGAGCCCGCGUCCCAUUAGCUUGUUGGUAAGGUAACGGCUUACCAAGGCUACGAUGGGUAGCUGGUCUGAGAGGAUGAUCAGCCACACUGGAACUGACACACGGUCCAGACUCCUACGGGAGGCAGCAGUGAGGAAUUUUGCGCAAUGGGGGAAACCCUGACGCAGCAACGCCGCGUGAGUGAUGAAGGCUCUUGGGUCGUAAAGCUCUGUCAAGUGGGAAGAAACCACAUGAUGCCAAUACCAUCGUGUGCUGACGGUACCACUGAAGGAAGCACCGGCUAACUCCGUGCCAGCAGCCGCGGUAAUACGGGGGGUGCAAGCGUUAUUCGGAAUUAUUGGGCGUAAAGGGCGCGUAGGCGGUUUGUAAAGUCAGAUGUGAAAGCCCAGGGCUUAACCUUGGAAGUGCAUUUGAAACUAACAGACUUGAGUAUGGGAGAGGGAAGUGGAAUUCCUGGUGUAGAGGUGAAAUUCGUAGAUAUCAGGAGGAACACCUGUGGCGAAGGCGACUUCCUGGACCAAUACUGACGCUGAGGCGCGAAGGCGUGGGGAGCAAACAGGACUAGAUACCCUGGUAGUCCACGCAGUAAACGGUGAUCACUAGGUGUAGCGGGUAUUGACCCCUGCUGUGCCGGAGUUAACGCAUUAAGUGAUCCGCCUGGGGAGUACGAUCGCAAGGUUAAAACUCAAAGGAAUUGACGGGGGCCCGUACAAGCGGUGGAGCAUGUGGUUUAAUUCGACGCAACGCGAAGAACCUUACCUGGACUUGACAUCUCGGGAAUCCUUUUGAAAAUUUGGAGUGCCCUUCGGGGAACCCGAUGACAGGUGCUGCAUGGCUGUCGUCAGCUCGUGUCGUGAGAUGUUGGGUUAAGUCCCGCAACGAGCGCAACCCCUAUCUUUAGUUGCCAGCAUUCAGUUGGGGACUCUAAAGAUACCGCCCCGGUCAACGGGGAGGAAGGUGGGGAUGACGUCAAGUCCUCAUGGCCUUUAUGUCCAGGGCUACACACGUGCUACAAUGGGCUGUACAGAGGGUCGCGAGCUCGUGAGAGUUAGCCAAUCCCUAAAAAGCAGUUCUCAGUUCGGAUUGGAGUCUGCAACUCGACUUCAUGAAGUUGGUAUCGCUAGUAAUCGCGGAUCAGCAUGCCGCGGUGAAUACGUUCCCGGGCCUUGUACACACCGCCCGUCACACCAUGAGAGUUGGCUGUACCCGAAGUUGUCGGACCAACCCAUUCGGGAGGUAGGCACCUAAGGUAUGGCUGAUGAUUGGGGUGAAGUCGGAACAAGGUA